rnacentral:rRNA from 1 species
UACGUAGGGGGCAAGCGUUGUCCGGAUUUAUUGGGCGUAAAGAGCGUGUAGGCGGUUAUGCAGGUCCGCUGUGAAAACUGGAGGCUUAACCUCCAGACGUCGGUGGAAACCGUAUGACUAGAGUCCGGAAGAGGAGAGUGGAAUUCCCGGUGUAGCGGUGAAAUGCGCAGAUAUCGGGAGGAACACCAAUGGCGAAGGCAGCUCGCUGGGACGGUACUGACGCUGAGGAGCGAAAGCGUGGGGAGCGAACAGGA